AGCCUUGAGGUGUUUAACAUAUAAGCUUGCAAAUCUUAAGUCGCAGAGUAAGACCUGCCGGGGCUU
rnacentral:tRNA from 1 species